CAAACGGCCCUUUUCAGGGCCACCCUGUAUAUAUAUAUAUAUAUUGU
rfam:Trachymyrmex zeteki contig4236, whole genome shotgun sequence.